rnacentral:rRNA from 1 species
UCGAGGAUCUUCGGCAAUGGGCGCAAGCCCGACCGAGCGACGCCGCGUGUGCGACGAAGGCCUUCGGGUUGUAAAGCACUGUCGAGGGGGAGAAAACCGCAAGGUUGAUCUAUCCCUGGAGGAAGCUCGGGCUAAGUUCGUGCCAGCAGCCGCGGUAAGACGAACCGAGCGAACGUUGUUCGGAAUCACUGGGCUUAAAGGGCGCGUAGGCGGGCUGCCAAGUCUGUGGUGAAAUCCUCCGGCUCAACCGGGGAAGUGCCAUGGAUACUGGCGGCCUCGAGGGGGGUAGGGGCGUGCGGAACUGUGGGUGGAGCGGUGAAAUGCGUUGAUAUCCACAGGAACUCCGGUGGCGAAGGCGGCACGCUGGACCUCAUCUGACGCUGAGGCGCGAAAGCCAGGGGAGCGAACGGGAUUAGAUACCCCCGUAGUCC